rnacentral:rRNA from 1 species
CCUACGGGAGGCUGCAGUGGGGGAUAUUGCACAAUGGGGGGAACCCUGAUGCAGCGACGCCGCGUGGGUGAAGAAGCGCCUCGGCGCGUAAAGCCCUGUCAGCAGGGGAGAAAAUGACGGUACCUGAAGAAGAAGCCCCGGGUAACUACGGGCCGGCAGCCGCGGUAAUACGUAGGGGGCCGGCGUUAUCCGGAUUUACUGGGUGUAAAGGGGGCGCAGAGGGGGAUGCAAGCCAGGAGUGAAAGCCCGGGGCCCAACCCCUGUACUGGUCUUGGAACUGCGUGGCUGGAGUGCAGGAGGGGCAGGCGGAAUUCCUGGUGUCGCGGUGAAAUGCGUAGAUAUCAGGAGGAACACCGGUGGCGAAGGCGGUCUGCUGGACUGCAACUGACGUUGAGGCCCGAAAGUGUGGGGAGCAAACAGGAUUAGAUACCCUAGUAGUC